rnacentral:rRNA from 1 species
UACGUAGGGGGCAAGCGUUGGUCCGGAUUUAUUGGGCGUAAAGAGCGUGUAGGCGGCUUUACAGGUCCGCUGUGAAAGUCGGGGGCUCAACCCUCGGAUGCCGGUGGAUACUGUCGGGCUCGAGUACGGAAGAGGCGAGUGGAAUUCCUGGUGUAGCGGUGAAAUGCGCAGAUAUCAGGAGGAACACCAAUUGCGAAGGCAGCUCGCUGGGACGUUACUGACGCUGAGGCGCGAAAGCUAGGGGAGCAAACGGG